rnacentral:rRNA from 1 species
UGGUGCCAGCAGCCGCGGUAACUCCAGCUUCAGAAGCGUAUAUUAAAGUUGUUGCAGUUAAAAAGCUCGUAGUUGGAUCUGGGUCGCACGGCCACAUGCUGUGCUCAUGUUUUCUACUCUUUUGGGUGGAUAUGCGUGAGUCGGCGUAGUGGUUGUGCUGCCUUUCUGCCGUGUCUGUGUAUGCGGGUGCUGGCUGGUCCGAUGGGUUCGUCCUGUUGGCCAGUUGGCAUGCUUCUUGAUGCCUUUAACACGGUGUCGGGAGCGGACGGCACGUUUACUUUGAACAAAUUUGAGUGCUCAAAGCAGGCCAAUGCGCCUGAAAAUUCUUGCAUGGAAUAAUGGAAUAGGACUUCGGUUCUAUUUUGUUGGUUUUCGGAUCCGAAGUAAUGGUUAAGAGGGACAGACGGGGGCAUUUGUAUGG